ACAGCAGCAGCCGCGGUAAUACGAAGGGGGCUAGCGUUGCUCGGAAUCACUGGGCGUAAAGGGUGCGUAGGCGGGUCUUUAAGUCAGGGGUGAAAUCCUGGAGCUCAACUCCAGAACUGCCUUUGAUACUGAAGAUCUUGAGUAUGGGAGAGGUGAGUGGAACUGCGAGUGUAGAGGUGAAAUUCGUAGAUAUUCGCAAGAACACCAGUGACGAAGGCGGCUCACUGGCCCAUAACUGACGCUGAGGCACGAAAGCGUGGGGAGCAAACAGGAUUAGAUACCCCCGUAGUCCCUGUCUCUUAUAC
rnacentral:rRNA from 1 species